rnacentral:rRNA from 1 species
UGUGAGCCAGGUUGGUUUCUAUCUUUAUAAUAUUUUAAUAUUUUAGUACGAAAGGAAUUAGUAUUUAUUAAAUAAUUAUUUAUUAUUGAAUAAUAUUAACUAUUUUGGCAGAUAAGUGUAAUAAAUUUAGAUUUUAUAUAUGUGAUUUUUCACAAAUAGUAUUGUAUUUAAUUGAAAUUAUUUUAUUUAUUAUUAGAAGAUUAUUAUUAGUAA